AUCUGAUGACUGCGAUCUUACCGGAUGUUCACUGGCGAUGGAGUCUACGGUGGAAGCGGAUUUAUUUGGAAGAGAUGUCAACGAUAAUACACGAACUGGGACAGACGGCUACGUGCUCUCCCAGACACGGUGGUGGACUCCACACACUUCCGAACUCCGGGCGAACAAAUAGUAGCGCGAAUCUCUCCGCGACCUUCCGUCCCCCGGAUACGGCUCGUUUUGGCGAGCGCGGGAUGUGGGUCAGUGACGUCACGGCGACAUCUGCCGCCCCCGCACCUGGCGCCCCCGCGCCGCACCCCGCACACCCGCCCCCGCAGAGAUGCAGAUUUAUAGCACAACCGAAACUACGGCACACGGACGUAGAGCCGAUAGAAGAGCUGGGCGUACUCUGUGUAAGGAUGUGAUGAAAAGUUUUAAAUUAUAGCAAAAGUAAUUAGAUUAUCACCCUCGAAUAGAUAAUAUUUUAUAUUUUUGGAACGGAAUUCCUUAUCGCGCGUUGCGAACGGGGACUAGACGGAAAAAACUAAGACCAAAAGUUUGUGACGACACUUUUUCUCGUAAUUGUUACGGCGUGUGCAUGUUUC